CCACUGAAAGCAGAAUGCACUGGCCCGGAAGAGAAGUCCACGAGAUGUCUAAGAAAGGCAGAUGAAAUAGUCAGCAAGGUGAAGUGUAACUUAUCAGAUGCUCGGCCAUUAGCUGAAUGAGCCUUCCAGCAGACCUCCCUCAUCACAAACCCCCAUCCGUGCUCCAGCUCACCUCCAAGAAAGUUCUGACACCUCUUUUGGGAAAACAUCCAUGCACAGACUAAGAACUAGAACAAGCAGACAUCAAGAAGAAGUCUUGUAGGUUGGAAUUUGUCAUUUGAUCCAAAAUAAAAGUGGGUGUUCAACAAAUGUACACCCUAUGUUCAGUUCAAAAA
rnacentral:lncRNA from 10 species